rnacentral:rRNA from 1 species
GGGCCCGCACAAGCGGUGGAGCAUGUGGUUUAAUUCGAUGAUACGCGAGGAACCUUACCAGGGCUUAAAUGCAGAACGACAGACUGGGAAACCAGUCCUUCUUCGGACGAUCUGCAAGGUGCUGCAUGGUUGUCGUCAGCUCGUGCCGUGAGGUGUCGGGUUAAGUCCCAUAACGAGCGCAACCCCUAUCCUUAGUUGCCAGCGAGUAAUGUCGGGGACUCUAAGGAAACUGCCUGCGCAAGCAGUGAGGAAGGUGGGGAUGACGUCAAAUCAUCACGGCCCUUACGUCCUGGGCUACACACGUGCUACAAUGGCGCAUACAAAGGGCAGCUACCUGGUGACAGGAUGCUAAUCUCUAAAGUGCGUCUCAGUUCGGAUCGAAGUCUGCAACUCGACUUCGUG